rnacentral:rRNA from 1 species
AGAUUAAGUUAUUAAGGGCGCACGGUGGAUGCCUUGGCACUAGAAGCCGACGAAGGACGUUACUAACGACGAUAUGCUUUGGGUAGCUGUAAGUAAGCGUUGAUCCAGAGAUUUCCGAAUGGGGGAACCCAGCACGAGUUAUGUCGUGUUAUCGACAAGUGAAUUCAUAGCUUGUCAGAAGGCAGACCCGGAGAACUGAAACAUCUUAGUACCCGGAGGAAGAGAAAGAAAAAUCGAUUCCCUGAGUAGCGGCGAGCGAAACGGGAAGAGCCCAAACCAAUAAGCUUGCUUAUUGGGGUUGUAGGACACUCUAUACGGAGUUACAAAGGAAUAUGUUAGACGAAUCAUCUGGAAAGUUGAAUCAAAGAAGGUAAUAAUCCUGUAGUUGAAAAUAUAUUCUCUCUUGAGUGGAUCCUGAGUACGACGGAGCACGUGAAAUUCCGUCGGAAUCUGGGAGGACCAUCUCCUAAGGCUAAAUACUCUCUAGUGACCGAUAGUGAACCAGUACCGUGAGGGAAAGGUGAAAAGUACCCCGGAAGGGGAGUGAAAGAGAACUUGAAACCGUGUGCUUACAAGUAGUCAGAGCCCGUUAAUGGGUGAUGGCGUGCCUUUUGUAGAAUGAACCGGCGAGUUACGAUCUGAUGCAAGGUUAAGCAGGAAAUGUGGAGCCGUAGCGAAAGCGAGUCUGAAUAGGGCGUUGAGUAUUUGGUCGUAGACCCGAAACCAGGUGAUCUACCCAUGGUCAGGUUGAAGUUCAGGUAACACUGAAUGGAGGACCGAACCGACUUACGUUGAAAAGUGAGCGGAUGAACUGUGGGUAGCGGAGAAAUUCCAAUCGAACUUGGAGAUAGCUGGUUCUCUCCGAAAUAGCUUUAGGGCUAGCCUCAAGUGAUGAUUAUUGGAGGUAGAGCACUGUUUGGACGAGGGGCCCCUCUCGGGUUACCGAAUUCAGACAAACUCCGAAUGCCAAUUAAUUUAACUUGGGAGUCAGAACAUGGGUGAUAAGGUCCGUGUUCGAAAGGGAAACAGCCCAGACCACCAGCUAAGGUCCCAAAAUAUAUGUUAAGUGGAAAAGGAUGUGGCGUUGCCCAGACAACUAGGAUGUUGGCUUAGAAGCAGCCAUCAUUUAAAGAGUGCGUAAUAGCUCACUAGUCGAGUGACACUGCGCCGAAAAUGUACCGGGGCUAAACAUAUUACCGAAGCUGUGGAUUGUCCGUAGGACAAUGGUAGGAGAGCGUUCUAAGGGCGUUGAAGCAUGAUCGCAAGGACAUGUGGAGCGCUUAGAAGUGAGAAUGCCGGUGUGAGUAGCGAAAGACGGGUGAGAAUCCCGUCCACCGAUUGACUAAGGUUUCCAGAGGAAGGCUCGUCCGCUCUGGGUUAGUCGGGUCCUAAGCUGAGGCCGACAGGCGUAGGCGAUGGAUAACAGGUUGAUAUUCCUGUACCACCUAGCAUCGUUUUAAUCGAUGGGGGG